rnacentral:rRNA from 1 species
GAGUUUGAUCUUGGCUCAGAUUGAACGCUGGCGGCAUGCCUAACACAUGCAAGUCGAACGGCAGCACUGGGAGCUUGCUCCCUGGUGGCGAGUGGCGGACGGGUGAGUAACGCGUAGGAAUCUGCCUCAUAGCGGGGGACGAACUCGGGAAACGUCGAGCUAAUACCGCAUACUACUCGAGAGAGGAAAGCAGGGGACCGUUCGGGCCGUUCGCACCUAUGAGAUGA